rnacentral:rRNA from 1 species
CAUGCAGUUCGAACGGCAGCACGGGGGCAACCCUUGGUGGCGAAGUGGCGAACGGGUUGAGUAAUGCAUCGGAACGUGCCCCGUAGCGGGGGAUAACCAGUCGAAAGAUUGGCUAAUACCGCAUACGCUCCACGGAGGAAAGCAGGGGACCGCAAGGCCUUGCACUAUGGGAGCGGCCGAUGCCCGAUUAGCUAGUUGGUGAGGUAAGGGCUCACCAAGGCAACGAUCGGUAGCUGGUCUGAGAGGACGACCAGCCACACUGGGACUGAGACACGGCCCAGACUCCUACGGGAGGCAGCAGUGGGGAAUUUUGGACAAUGGGCGAAAGCCUGAUCCAGCCAUGCCGCGUGCGGGAAGAAGGCCUUCGGGUUGUAAACCGCUUUUGGCAGGAACGAAACGGCGCUCGCUAAUACCGGGCGCUAAUGACGGUACCUGCAGAAUAAGCACCGGCUAACUACGUGCCAGCAGCCGCGGUAAUACGUAGGGUGCAAGCGUUAAUCGGAAUUACUGGGCGUAAAGCGUACGCAGGCGGCCAUGUAAGACAGGUGUGAAAUCCCCGGGCUUAACCUGGGAACUGCAUUUGUGACUGCAUGGCUAGAGUUUGUCAGAGGGGGGGUGGAAUUCCACGUGUAGCAGUGAAAUGCGUAGAGAUGUGGGAGGAACACCGAUGGCGAAAGGCAGCCCCCUGGGACAUGACUGACGCUCAGUACGAAAGCGUGGGGAGCAAACAGGAUUA